CAACAGGCGAUGAAGGACGUGAUAGCCUGCGAAAAAGCUUCGGGGAGCUGGCAAUAAGCUUUGAUCCGGAGAUAUCCGAAUGGGGAAACCCACCCGCAAGGGUACCCUUGGCUGAAUACAUAGGCCAUGUGGAGCGAACCUGGUGAACUGAAACAUCUAAGUAGCCAGAGGAAAAGAAAUCAACCGAGAUUCCCAAAGUAGUGGCGAUCGAAAAUGGGAGUAGCCUGCACGACUAAACCAACUUCUUAGCAAAACGGUCUGGAAAGUCCGGCGACAGUGGGUGAUAGCCCCGUAUGCGAAAAGAAAGUUGGCGGGUCUGAGCGUGCGAAAAGUAGGGCGGGACACGUGGAAUCCUGUCUGAAGAUGGGGGGACCAUCCUCCAAGGCUAAAUACUCGUUGUCGACCGAUAGUGAACCAGUACCGUGAGGGAAAGGCGAAAAGAACCCGGAGGGAGUGAAUAGAUCCUGAAACCGCAUGCAUACAAACAGUGGGAG
rnacentral:rRNA from 1 species